rnacentral:rRNA from 1 species
AGUGAACGCUGGCGGUAGGCUAACACAUGCAAGUCGAACGGCAGCACAGGAGAGCUUGCUCUCUGGAUGGCGAGUGGCGGACGGGUGAGGAAUACAUCGGAAUCUACUUGUUCGAGGGGGAUAACGUACGGAAACUUACGCUAAUACCGCAUACGAGCUACGGGUGAAAGCACGGGAUCUUCGGACCUUGCGCGAUAGAAUGAGCCGAUUUCGGAUUAGCUAGUUGGCGGGGUACAGGCCCACCAAGGCGACUAUCCGUACCUAGUCUGAGAGGAUGAUCAGCCACACUGGAACUGAGACACGGUCCAUACUCCUACGGGAGGCAGCAGUGGGGAAUAUUGGACAAUGGGCGCAAGCCUGAUCCAGCCAUACCGCGUGGGUGAAGAAGGCCUUCGGGUUGUAAAGCCCUUUUGUUGGGGAAGAAAUCUAGCAGACUAAUACUCGGUUGGGAUGACGGUACCCAAAGAAUAAGCACCGGCUAACUUUGUGCCAGCAGCCGCGGUAAUACGAAGGGUGCAAGCGUUACUCGGAAUUACUGGGCGUAAAGCGUGCGUAGGUGGUCUUUUAAGUCGGAUGUGAAAUCCCUGGGCUCAACAUGGGAACUGCAGUGGAUACUGGCCGACCAGAGUGUGGUAGAGGGUAGCGGAAUUCCUGGUGUAGCAGUGAAAUGCGUAGAGAUCAGGAGGAACAUCCAUGGCGACGGAGGCUACCUGGACUAACACUGACACUGAGGCACGAAUGCGUGG